CAGUAGUCACGAGUUUGAUCCUGGCUACAGAACGAACGCUGGCGGCAUGCCUAACACAUGCAAGUCGAACGAUAAGCCACCUUCGGGUGGUGGACAGUGGCGCACGGGUGAGUAACACGUGGGGACCUGCCUGAUAGUACGGAAAAACAGUUGGAAACGACUGCUAAUACCGUAUACGCCCUUCGGGGGAAAGAUUUAUCGCUAUCAGAUGGACCCGCGCUAGAUUAGAUAGUUGGUGAGGUAAUGGCUCACCAAGUCGACGAUCUAUAGCUGGUUUGAGAAGAUGAUCAGCCACAUUGGGACUGAGACACGGCCCAGACUCCUACGGGAGGCAGCAGUGGGGAAUAUUGUACAAUGGGCGCAAGCCUGAUACAGCAAUGCCGCGUGAGUGAAGACGGCCUUAGGGUUGUAAAGCGCUUUCACCUGUGAUGAUGAUGACAGUAGCAGGAGAAGAAGCCCCGGCUAACUCCGUG
rnacentral:rRNA from 1 species